rnacentral:rRNA from 1 species
GAUUAACGCUGGCGGCAUGCCUAAUACAUGCAAGUCGAACGGAAGCAGCAAUGCUUUAGUGGCGAACGGGUGAGUAACACGUAGGGAACCUACCUAUACGACGAGGAUAACUACUGGAAACGGUAGCUAAAACUGGAUAGGAUCAAUUGAGGCAUCUUGAUUGAUUUAAAGAUCCUUCGGGAUUACGUAGAGAUGGCCCUGCGGCGCAUUAGCUAGUUGGUGAGGUAACGGCCCACCAAGGCGACGAUGCGUAGCUGAGCUGAGAGGCUAAACAGCCACACUGGGACUGAGACACGGCCCAGACUCCUACGGGAGGCAGCAGUAGGGAAUUUUCGGCAAUGGGGGAAACCCUGACCGAGCAAUGCCGCGUGAACGAUGAAGGUCUUCGGAUUGUAAAGUUCUGUGAUUGGGGAAGAAUGGUAUUCUUAGGGAAUGAGGAGUACAUGACGGUACCCGAUUAGAAAGCCCCGGUAACUAUGUGCCAGCAGCC